AUUGAACGCUGGCGGCAUGCUUUACACAUGCAAGUCGAACGGUAACAGGGAGCUUGCUCCGCUGACGAGUGGCGAACGGGUGAGUAAUAUAUCGGAACGUACCCCAGAGUGGGGGAUAACGUAGCGCAAGUUACGCUACUACCGCAUACGAUCUAUGGAUGAAAGCAGGGGACCUUCGGGCCUUGUGCUCCUGGAGCGGCCUAUAUCUGAUUAGCUAGUUGGUGAGGUAAAGGCUCACCAAGGCGACGACCAGUAGCUGGUCUGAGAGGACGACCAGCGACACUGAAACUGAGACACGGUCCAGACUCCUACGGGAGGCAGCAGUGGGGAAUUUUGGACAAUGGGCGCAAGCCUGAUCCAGCAAUGCCGCGUGAGUGAAGAAGGCCUUCGGGUUGUAAAGCUCUUUUGUCAGGGAAGAAACGGUAGAGGCUAAUAUCCUUUGCUAAUGACGGUACCUGAAGAAUAAGCACCGGCUAACUACGUGCCAGCAGCCGCCGCGGUAA
rnacentral:rRNA from 1 species